rnacentral:misc_RNA from 1 species
GAUGAAGAACGUAGCGAAAUGCGAUAAGUAAUGUGAAUUGCAGAAUUCAGUGAAUCAUCGAAUCUUUGAACGCACAUUGCGCCCAUUAGUAUUCUAGUGGGCAUGCCUGUUCGAGCGUCAUUAAGUCCACUUAAGCCCUGCUUAGUGUUGGGAGACUGCUCCAGCGGUGCUACCCUGUAGCUACCCUGCAGCUCCUCAAAGACAGCGGCGGAGUUGUGGUAUCCUCUGAGCUUAGUAACUUGUUCUAGCUUUUGAGUACACCACUUCCCCUGCCGUAAAACCCUUAAUUUUUAAUGGUUGACCUCGGAUCAGGUAGGAAUACCCGCUGAACUUAAGCAUAUCAAUAAGCGGAGA